CACGGAGGCUUUUGUUGUGUGAACCUAGUGUCUUUUUCCGUCAAGUUUUUUUCCACUGUUUUUUAGAAAAUGUUACUGUUUUAAUUACAAAAAAGACUCAGCUAUAACAUUACAACGGAAAAACACAGUAUUUGCCUGGUGUUCAGUGAUGGAUAGGAAAAUUCAGAGGAUGUGAGGAGACGUAACGACGCACAGGAGAUGACAGACAGAAGUGGCGGUCAGAUCACGAGACAAGACGAAAAACCAACAAAGCCACAACAGUAUGUUCAACAGAAACAAAGGAACGCCUUUAUGAGAUCACAUGUCAUCCAAACCCUUUUAUUAAAGCAGAGGACCAGUGACCUGGUAGCCAUAGCGAUGCAGCUUGUCAUUUUUGCACCUGUACUAGGCCAUUCCAACCUUUUAUGUUUGGAUAAGACAUCCUAGGCCUUCUUAUCUUUUGUUGCUCUUUGGCUUCUAAAUGAACCAUUUUUUAAUCUUUAUUUUUAAUUAGCACAGAAACUGGCCUUUUUGUGAACGAGGUUUUGCAAACGUUUUACCAUUAAACGCAAAUAUUUCAGAGGGUCACGGUGGCUCUCAAUGCUUAUGUUUUCAUCUUUCAAGUAUCUGUUUUUCAAGUAUCAAGUAUCUAUCCAUCAAGACAGGGUUUACAUAAAGUGGUUUUAUCAGAAUUUCCUGAGUAUAUAUAAAAUCAACAUUUGCUCAAUUGUUUAAAAUACUAAAUUUCCAUUUCAUGCAAACUUUAACUUUGGAAAAACGAUUCUGUGUCAAUUCUUUAAAUGAUGCAAAACGCAUUUGUAUACGAGUUCCUCCAUAAAUCAUCGUAUAAAUCGUGCAUAUGCAUGUCUUACUUAAAUUCUAACUGCAAGAGUAUGUGUUACAAUCGGCACCCACACAGAUCUGCUCCGAGUUUUCAGACAUCGGCUGGAAUGUGUGUCAUAUUCAGAGCUCAAGGUGACACGGUAGCAAAGUUCAGUGGAACACAUUUAGACGUUUUCCCACAUAUCAGGAAAGGCAGCAGUCACUGAAAUACUGGUUGUAACUGAGACGGGGGGAGGUGUUUUUAUUUGUGUGUACCCAUGCUAGAAUUGUGGUUAUAAUAGCAUUUGAUCAUAAAACAUGUUUGACUGACAGCUAAUGUUUUGCAUAGCAGUUUGAGAAAUAUGAUCGUGCACACACGGGGUCCUGAAUGCUAGACGAGUCGGUGUGCAAACAGUUCCUUGCUGAGCUAGAGUCCACAUAGUUUGCCGUUGCCACAGACCCGGCAGUAACUCUCCUUUCACUAUUAUAAUUCAUGGCUAUUUACGGCCAAUGGGAUGGGUGAGCUGGGCCUCCUGCCGCAAACUCAGCCCUUGACCUUGCACUCACAACCCCACCAUACACCCCUCCCCCAACUCUCCCUGGCUCUGUAAGUGAAAGGCCCAUAUGUCUUGUGCUGGCUCCGGCCCACGGCCAUGACAUUCCCUUUGAAGGCAGUCCUGCUUGCUGACUGCUAAGGAGAAGCUCGCGCCAUUCGGAGUUGUUAUGCAAUUCCUAAUGCCAUUCAACACCUACAUAAACAGUCUGGGCAGCUUCUAGAGCGGGUACAUUUACCAUGCCAAGUUUUAUGUAAGCCGUGCUGCGUUGAUAUAAACAUAAAGGCGUUUGAAUGCAUGAGGAUAUAUUAUUUAUGGCUUUUAAACAUUAUCACAAGACAAAUUCCAUCUAAACUAACCUAAACAAAUUGUUUAGUUACACAAAUUUUCCAAACUGAUCAUGAUUAAUUUGCUGUUUAUUUUUAUGCUGGCGUCCAAAUAGUUUGUUUAUAGGAGACGUCACUGCUCCGUUGAGUCAUGCACACGCGAACCCUCGCAACCUUUCCAGUUUUCUGUGCGUGAGUAAGCGUGGCCAAACAUGUCAGAACAUGUGUUUCUCGUUUUGAUGCAGAAUGGCAUCGCGCACAGAAUAAAAGAGACACUUGUGUACCUUAUGAUACACAUUUUCUAGAGCAGUGAAUCUCAACCUUGUUCUUGAAGGGGCCCUCCAACGGUACAUGAUGGAUGUCUGUCCAUCCAAAAAAUUACUUUCCCACAUGUCAUUCCAAACCUGCAUGCCUUUCUUUCUUCUGUAGAACACAAAAGAAUAUAUCUUGAUGAAUGCAAGCAACCAAACAAUUUGGGGUCCUAUUGGUUUUCAUUAUAUAGCCUAGAAUAUUUUUAAUGUGAUCUAAAUCUGUUUGGUUACCAACAUCCUCAAAAUAUCUUAUUUUUUUGUUCCACAGACGAAAUAAUGUUUGGUUUUGGAAUGAGAUAUGGGUGAGUAAAUGAUGACAGAUU